rnacentral:rRNA from 1 species
GUGAGGAAUAUUGCGCAAUGGAGGCAACUCUGACGCAGCCAUGCCGCGUGCAGGAAGAAGGCGCUACGCGUUGUAAACUGCUUUUAACCGGGAAGAAACCCCAGGACGUGUCCUGGGUUGACGGUACCGGAGGAAUAAGCACCGGCUAACUUCGUGCCAGCAGCCGCGGUAAUACGAAGGGUGCAAGCGUUAUCCGGAUUCAUUGGGUUUAAAGGGUGCGUAGGCGGAGCGUUAAGUCAGUGGUGAAAUCCUGCAGCUUAAGUGUAGACUUGCCAUUGAUACUGGCGCUCUUGAGUGCGCUUGAAGUGUGCGGAAUGUGCCGUGUAUCGGUGAAAUGCUUAGACAUGGCCCAGAACACCAAUUGCGAAGGCAGCUCACUAAGGCGAUACUGACGCUGAGGCACGAAAGCGUGGGGAUCGAACAGGAUUAGAUACCCCAGUAGUCC